UACGUAGGGUCCGAGCGUUGUCCGGAAUUACUGGGCGUAAAGAGCUCGUAGGUGGUUUGUCGCGUUGUUCGUGAAAACUCACAGCUCAACUGUGGGCGUGCGGGCGAUACGGGCAGACUAGAGUACUGCAGGGGAGACUGGAAUUCCUGGUGUAGCGGUGGAAUGCGCAGGAUAUCAGGAGGAACACCGGUGGCGAAGGCGGGUCUCUGGGCAGUAACUGACGCUGAGGAGCGAAAGCGUGGGGAGCGAACAGG
rnacentral:rRNA from 1 species